rnacentral:rRNA from 1 species
UGCAGUCGAGGGGUAGUGGGAGCUUGCUUCCAUGAGACCGGCGCACGGGUGCGUAACGCGUAUGCAAUCUGCCUCUCACUGGGGAAUAGCCCGGAGAAAUCCGGAUUAAUGCCCCAUGGUAUUUCGGGACGGCAUCGUCCUGUUAUUAAAGAUUUAUCGGUGAGAGAUGAGCAUGCGUCCCAUUAGUUAGUUGGUAAGGUAACGGCUUACCAAGACGAUGAUGGGUAGGGGUCCUGAGAGGGAGAUCCCCCACACUGGUACUGAGACACGGACCAGACUCCUACGGGAGGCAGCAGUGAGGAAUAUUGGUCAAUGGGCGCAAGCCUGAACCAGCCAUGCCGCGUGCAGGACGACGGCCCUAUGGGUUGUAAACUGCUUUUGUACGGGAAGAAACACUCCAACGUGUUGGAGCUUGACGGUACCGUAAGAAUAAGGAUCGGCUAACUCCGUGCCAGCAGCCGCGGUAAUACGGAGGAUCCAAGCGUUAUCCGGAAUCAUUGGGUUUAAAGGGUCCGUAGGCGGCCCUGUAAGUCAGUGGUGAAAUCUUUCGGCUCAACCGGAAAAUUGCCAUUGAUACUGCAGGGCUUGAAUUAUUGGGAAGUAACUAGAAUAUGUAGUGUAGCGGUGAAAUGCUUAGAGAUUACAUGGAAUACCGAUUGCGAAGGCAGGUUACUAUCAAU